rnacentral:misc_RNA from 1 species
AACACUGUUAACCUGCGGUACCUGCGGAAGGAUCAUUACCGAGUUUACAACUCCCAAACCCCUGUGAACAUACCUAUACGUUGCCUCGGCGGAUCAGCCCGCGCCCCGUAAAAAGGGACGGCCCGCCCGAGGACCCCUAAACUCUGUUUUUAGUGGAACUUCUGAGUAAAACAAACAAAUAAAUCAAAACUUUUAGCAACGGAUCU